UAACCCAAAUCUUUCUCUUUCCUCAGCCUGUGAACGCAGCCUCCACCUCAUUUCUUCCUAAACACAAUACACACACAAAACAGAGAAAGAAACGCAGAGAUGGAGAGGAAGAAAAGAGAGCUCGGAACCAGAGGAGGGAGCCACACCCAGCCACCGUCCAGCUUACAGCCCCAAUCGCGUAUUGUUGCGCUGUCAUUCACGCUCAUCGCCGCCCAGCCGUUGGUGCGAGCUCGCCGCCGUCAACGAGAUGCUGUCUGCCGUCACUGUCGCCGCCCUGGAUCUCGCCAUCGAGCUGCUUCACGGCGUCGUCCCGUCCAUGGAGCCACAAGCUUGCGUUAUUGCCGAUCCGUCUACAAGCCACCGUCAAGGAGAAGCUGCCAUCGCGUCUUGUCCCGCCGUCACCACCGUUGCCCUGGAGCUCGCCCGCCGUCGUCGUUGAGGGGCCAGCAGAGAGUCACGAUGGAGCUCCGUUUGUGCUUCUCUGGUCCGCCGAGAGAGGAGCUCAUGGGUUGAGGAAGGCCAGUUGAGGGAGAGAACGCUGUUGAGUGGGGUAAACGCCUCUGUCGUGCUUCUUGUCACUGGUGGCGGAGUCGCGUCGCCGUCACCCCUGGGCUGCCGUUCCUGCUGCCAAUGUUUCCUCGUUCUGUUAUUAUUGUCUAAUUGAGAUCAGAGAGGAGAGGAGGCGUUUAACCUUGUCAUUGUUGCUGCCAUGGAAAUAGGUGCUAGAAACUGCUCAUGGAGCAGCUGCGUUUAGCGAUUUUUGCGAGUUCCGACUUUGAGUGACACAUGUUCGAAGACUCAGUUUGAAGCUGCGAGUGAUUAUAUAAUUUAUUUAUGAGUUAAGUAGCCCAUGUCAGAGGCACACUCCCAUUCCCUACUUUGGUCACAGAGAUGGCUCAGCGGGCUGGAGUACCAUGGCUGCCAGAUGAUGAGUCGCCACCCGCAGUCCACAUAAAUGAGAGAGUUAUUCUGUGGGGGACUUGGGUGACCGACAAACCACCAGCACCGCGGAGAGCCCAAGCAUCUGCAGCAGCGACACCUAGGCCAUCUUCCUCUUCAGCAGCAGCACCUGGACCAUCUACACCAGUACCACCAGCACCACCACCACCACCACCAGCAGCACCUCAGCCGAUGUACCGACUUAUGCAGCACCUCAUUGGGCUCAUGGAGCAGAGUGAGCGUCGCAAUAGGCGACGCUAUGAGCGUUUGAGUCGGAUGCUGGCAUCAUUAGGUACCAGGAUGCCCUCUGAUUCUGACAUUUCUUCCAACUAGUUUGAGGCGAAGGAGGGGGUUCGGGAGAAGGAGGCUUAGCAGCCAGAGGCACGUUCACAGAUUUAGGCUACCACAGAGACACAUCAGGCCCCUGUAGAGUCAUAGCCUCAGCCUCAGCCAGUAGCAAACAUCGACCGUCUCACCCAGUCUCAGUCGUAGCAUCGAGUACGAUGCUGUCUUCUAAGUGUGGGGAGGUCGCCGUCGUCGACGUCGACAGGAUUUUCUAUUUUCGGUGACCAUUUUCAGACUCUCAUUUUAUUUAGAUUUAUUUUGUCUUAUUUUUAGUAUUUGCACUUUAUUUUAUUGCACUUUUGGAUCAUUAUAUAUAUCAGUUAUCUUGGAUACUUUUGU